ACCGCUUGAAAACACCGGUUCUCGUUCGAUCACCGAAUGUUAAGCAUCGUAGAGCCAGGUCAGUACUUAGAUGGGGGACCGCUU